UACGGAGGGUGCAAGCGUUAUCCGGAUUCACUGGGUUUAAAGGGUGCGUAGGUGGGUUGGUAAGUCAGUGGUGAAAUCUCCAGGCUUAACUUGGAAACUGCCAUUGAUACUAUCAAUCUUGAAUACCGUGGAGGUCAGCGGAAUAUGUCAUGUAGCGGUGAAAUGCUUAGAUAUGUAAUAGAACACCGAUUGCGAAGGCAGUUCACUAAGGUUGUAUUGACACUGAGGCACGAAAGCGUGGGGAUCAAACAGG
rnacentral:rRNA from 1 species